rnacentral:rRNA from 1 species
UAUUGCACAAUGGGGGAAACCCUGAUGCAGCGACGCCGCGUGAGUGAAGAAGUAUUUCGGUAUGUAAAGCUCUAUCAGCAGGGAAGAAGAUGACAGUACCUGAGUAAGAAGCCCCGGCUAACUACGUCCCAGCAGCCGCGGUAAUACGUAGGGGGCAAGCGUUAUCCGGAUUUACUGGGUGUAAAGGGAGCGUAGACGGUUGUAUAAGUCUGGAGUGAAAGCCCGGGGCCCAACCCCGGGACUGCUUUGGAAACUGUGUAACUUGAGUACAGGAGGGGCAGGCGGAAUUCCUGGUGUAGCGGUGAAAUGCGUAGAUAUCAGGAGGAACACCGGCGGCGAAGGCGGCCUGCUGGACUGAAACUGACGUUGAGGCUCGAAAGCGUGGGGAGCAAACAGG